rnacentral:misc_RNA from 1 species
AUCGGCUGACAACACUCAAACUGUUUGCUGUCAAAGCUGAAAUAAUACUCUUUACUCAUUGCGUAUGAAGAAAACCAAUAAAAACUUGUAAUUCAUCAAUUUGGUGUUAUUUCAUGACGAGCGUAUCAAACACAUAGAAUUCUAUUAUGACCUUUUUUAUUAAUGAGAUAUAAAAUACAGCAAGAUUAUUGAGUUUAUACAUAAGCUAUGUAUUCGUUUGAGGGAGACUUCAGGCGCAAGCCCCAGCAGAACUUGGCUGGCGCCAGCGCUCAGCGCAAGACAGACCGAGAUACUUUGAUACAGCAGUCACAACAACAAAGACAGAAAAGAGAGGAACACAGAAAACGCUUGAACAGUACAGUUAAAAUCCAAGCUUAUGUGAGAAGUUACUUGACCAGAAAGCAUUGUAAACAGACUGAGAGGGACCAGUUUGAUAGCAUAUUCCCAAGAGUCAACCCAGAUGAUCAACAGAUGCUGUGUGCUCUGGUUGCUAAGAUACUGUUCUUUUAUGAUGACCAACAGGAUUAUUCUAGACUGGUUGCAAUUUCACAACUGCUUCUGAAACAAUGGAAGAAAGUGUAUCAAAUAUUUGGUGCCUGUGUUCAAAUCCGAAGAGUGUUGGCCUUACAUCUUCGUUUGUUAAGAGAUAAUAGUGAGGUACCAUUGGCAGUACCUCUCCGAAUGUUCGAAGUGUUCACGUCUACGAACACUGCUGAGGCUUCCAUCAACUGUGAUGAAGCCCUCAGUAUUGUGGGCAGCACUUUCUUAUAUCUCGUUAAAAGAGGUUAUUUCCAAGAUCUGUGUAAACUAAUGUGUGACAAGACGCCGCCGCUGUAUGGGCCUUCGCCCAACCCGCCGACACCUCUCAGUGGAGCCCUGCUAGAUCUCAUACAACGACCUCUCACUCUUAUAUCGCGUAUCAAUAUACCACAUUAUGAUGACAGCAUAAUGACAGCGUUCGCAUCAGCCUUCCUCUGCAACCCGUACCCGGAGCCGGUAGAGAUGUACAUAAUCCCGGCGCUAGCACACGACCCCAGCAAGAAGUUCCCCUUCCUCUCGCUAGUGCAGGCGCUGAGGGAUGAUGCCAAGUUUACCAGUAGAGUGCUUAGUAAUGAUUCGUGGUUGCUACACUCCGUGCUGGCGUUGGAACCUCCGGAUUUCGUAAACGUAGUACGCAACAUGGACAAUUCAAGACUGCCGAACAAUCCUAUUGUUUUAGACUACUUUAAAAUUAUUGCUAAGUUAACUGUAAAUGUUUGUAAUAAGCAAAUUACCUACGAGUAUGAAGACUCCUUGUAUAGCCAGGAGACGGUGGCUGAUAAAGAUGACGAUAGUGACAGUGAGAACGAACCCAAUCCUACGUCUGUUAGAGAACAAAUGUUGCUGACGAGAUGUAUAGAGCUUCUGAAUGAACCGGAACGUUGUGUGAUGACCACGUGCUCGCAGAUUACCGAAGCUGACUUGAGUGAAGACUUCCUGGAUUGUGUGUCGGAAAUAUGCCAUAAUUUGUUGCUGAGCCAUAGGAUGGCGUUGCAUAAGUAUAGAUUACUAUACACUUUAGCGUUCAAGCCGAUGUUCCUCCGCGGUCUCUGGCUGUGGGUAUCGUCAAUGUCGCACCUGUCGUCGUUCGGCGGCCCCGCCACGCCGCUGCUGUCGGCGCUGUCGCGCGGGCUGGGCGCCGACGCGCAUGCGCUCAACGUGCACCGACUGUUGGCGCCGCUAGCUGUCUUCUGUGCCUUGUUCUCACUGCUGAUUGGAACGCUCCACGAUACGGAGUUCUGUAGAGACCCUGAUGAUGAGAAGAAGCUUAGUUUAGGCUUGCCACAACCCAUAACGCCCGCCGGUCGAGUCCAUGCGUUCGAGUUCGGUGAACUAGGUUCAUUAUGCCGUACUCUCCGUACCGUAUGCCUAGGCCUGGUCGAGCUGGCCUACCCGGAGUCCAGGCCGGCGGUCGCGGGCCACUAUAGAGACGCAGUUCAUGCCGACCAUAUACAGAUAUCAGGGAAUAAUCAGACUCCGGCGUGGUCGCAUCUUUUUAAGGUAUGCACAUCGCUCCUCCGCGCGCUAUACGCUCGCGACGGGCGGCUGCAGUUCGUGGGCGCGGGCGCGUGGCCGGCGGCGGGCGCCGUGCCCGAGGGCGGCGCCGCCGUGCUGCUGGUGGCGGGCGAGCGGGCCCGCCACAACACGCGGCAUCUACGCCGACCGCCCAACCUUACUGCCGCGCUGGCGCUCUCACAUGAUGAGGGACCACCCUUAACAAUCAAGGAACUUAGAACAGUCACUAUACUUAGAGAAAUUCCAUUCGUCGUGCCUUUUUCAACGCGUGUACUUAUAUUCCAAGGUCUUUUAGCCAGAGAAAAACAUGACCAUUGGUACGAAAUGUCGAACUUCAACGAGGGGCCUUCAAUAAACAUUAGUGUUCGACGGACGCAUUUAUAUGAAGAUGCAUUUGACAAACUUAGUCCAGAUAACGAACCUGAUUUAAAACUGAAACUAAGAGUACAACUAAUAAAUCAAGCGGGCGCAGAGGAAGCGGGUGUUGACGGCGGUGGACUAUUCAGAGAGUUUCUUUCUGAACUACUCAAAUCAGCGUUUGACCCGAACAGAGGCUUAUUCCGGUUGACCAUAGACAACAUGUUGUACCCGAAUCCCGCCGUACAUUUGCUGUACGACGACUUCCCCAUGCAUUAUUACUUUGUAGGCAGGAUGUUGGGCAAGGCGAUGUACGAGAACCUGCUAGUAGAACUCCCCCUAGCGGAGUUCUUCCUGGGCAAGCUGUGCGGCUGCGGCGAGGCGGACGUGCACGCGCUGGCGUCGCUGGACCCCGCGCUGCACCGCGGCCUGCUGCUGCUGCGGGCUCACUCCCGCCGGGACGUGCCCGAGCUGGGGCUCGACUUCACUGUGCUCACUGAUGAGCUGGGGGAGCAGAGGAUAGAAGAAUUAAAACCUGGUGGUGCAAACAUUCCUGUGACAGCUGAAAAUAGGAUAGAAUACAUUCAUCUAGUCGCCGAUUAUAAGUUAAAUAAACAAAUAAGGUCCCAGUGCAACGCGUUCAAGCGAGGCCUAGUGUCCGUGGUCUCCGCGGAGUGGCUGCGCAUGUUCUCGUGCAGAGAGCUGCAGCUGCUCAUCUCUGGCGCCGAAGUGCCCAUAGACAUCGAGGAUCUCAAGAGAUAUACACAGUAUGCAGGAGGUUUCUCAGCGCAGCAUCCAACGGUACAAUGCUUCUGGCGCGUGCUGGCGACGUUCACGGACGACCAGCGCCGGCAGCUGCUCAAGUUCGUCACCAGCUGUUCCAGACCACCACUGCUUGGCUUUAAGGACCUGCAACCCCCGUUCUGCAUCCAAUCAGCGGGUGCAUCAGACCGUCUUCCGUCAUCGUCUACCUGCAUGAACCUGCUGAAGCUGCCGGAGUUCCACACGGAGGAGCAGCUCACUGAGAAGUUGUUGUACGCCAUACAGGCCGGCGCGGGCUUCGAACUUAGCUAGAGUGAGUACCAUCAUCUUCUCAUCUUCCGAGCCUUUACCCAACUAUGUUGGGGUCGGCUUCCAGUCUAACCGGAUGUGCUGUGCACCAGUGUUUUACAAGGAGCCACUGUCCUAUCCCCCCUCAACCCAGUUACCCGGACAACCAAAUACCCCUUGGUUAGACAGGUUUAGCUAGAGUGCUUAUAUUUUUUUCUUAUAUUUUAUUGCUAUACACCGUGAGUUGAAAGUUAAAUUUAAUUGACGCCAAACAUAUUAAAACGAAUCUAAACUUUUUUUUUUCAAUCAAAAUAUAGAAUGAUGGGGGCGUGUCAUAGUACAAUUAUUGUAAAGGUCUCUAGUAAGAAUGGUUCACUACACCUAUUUAGUAUUUAAAUAUGUACCGCGUAAUUUGGUCACAUUUAUGCUACAUGUCAAAGCGUAAACACAUCUUUUUUUAAACUUGUAACGCAUGGAUAUUGAAAUUGAAUACAGGUUCAUAGAUUUGUAAUGUAAUAUUUUGUUCUCUUACAAACUUUUCUUAUUCUCCUAUAAACGUGAGUCAAGACUUAGGCUGGUUUAUUUCCCAACGCAAUGAGUUGUUGUUUAGUGAGUACUUCCGUUCAUUAUUUACGUUUUUGUGCAAUAUGAUCUACUUAAUUCCUUUAAAAUUCUAAUUGUAUACUGAGUGUGAAACUAAUUUCAAUUUUGUUUCCAGGUACAAUCACAAAUACCACGUAUUUAGAUAGUUGUCUACUAAAUAUUUGGAGGUUUAUUGUUAGUUUUAUUUUCCCACUGUAGUAGUUCACUAACCACUAACAAAUCGCAUUUCUUGUGAUAAUAGAAUAUCCGAAUAUAUUUGAGAACUAUUGCGAUGUGGUUGUGUUUCUGUAAAUAAUCGUUACCGUUAGUUAUUUUCUCGUGUUCUCUGUUUAAGAAACAUAUCUUGUGUAUUUCUAAUGUACUCAUCUUUUAUUCACAUUAAAUUAAAUUAUUUAUUUAUAACAAUUACUCACUUCUUCUAAAUUGGUAUUAUAUUUCUAAUUUAUGGAGCAUAGGGUGUGUUGAGGUUCAAUAGAUAAAAAUGUUAGUGCAAUGUUGUUACAUGUAAAUAAUAAAAAUUGUGUCGAAUUUAUACACUAGCUGUUCUAGAUUAGGUACCUGGGAUUGUGUAAAAGAGUAAUAAUAUUUUUAUUUUAUUGAAUUUUGUAAAUGUCCAAAUACAUGUGAUGGAGUGUUGUGCUUCCAUCGGUCGUUGUGAUGUGUGCCCGGUCUUGUACAAACUAUUCAGUCGUGUCAAAUUUGGGACUUUAUAUUUUAGUACCUAUUGAAUAAAGUUAUCUGAAUCUUGUA